rnacentral:rRNA from 1 species
ACGUUAGCGGCGGACGGGUGAGUAACACGUGGGUAACCUACCUAUAAGACUGGGAUAACUCCGGGAAACCGGGGCUAAUACCGGAUAACACAUGAAACCGCAUGGUUUCAUGAUGAAAGACGGUUUUGCUGUCACUUAUAGAUGGACCCGCGGCGUAUUAGCUAGUUGGUAAGGUAACGGCUUACCAAGGCAACGAUACGUAGCCGACCUGAGAGGGUGAUCGGCCACACUGGGACUGAGACACGGCCCAG